rnacentral:lncRNA from 1 species
UUAAAAUAUUUAAAUUUCAGGUGUUGAAAAAUCACUGUGAAAAGUGUUAAAAAGACUAAAAGCAAAGUGGGUUUAUAAAACAAAGUCCCACAAAUCAGAUUGUAUCAUAAUUUUUAUGCACAGUGGUUAUCAUUUACCCCUCUAUAGCAAACCAUUUUGAUUAUUUAGCAUAUUAAUUCAUUAAUAUGCUAAAUAAUCACAUCUAAUUUGGUAAUAUCUUCUCAUAAUUGAUAAGUUCAGGUUGUCUUUUAAGCAACUAUGGAGUAUCAAAAUAAUUCCAAGGUAAAAUAUAGUACUUUGAGUUUAGUGUCUUACAUACUAUAUUUUUCCCCCCUUCAUUUCCAGGACUCCACUAUUGUUACUCCAAUUAUUCUGAGGACUGAUCCACAAGGAUUUUUCUUUUAUUGGACAGAUCAAAAUAAGCAUCUCCCUCCUACCUCCAACCUAAAGAGUGGAAUGACUGAAAGGAAUGUGAACUACCCCAGGAGAUUUGCCAAUCCAGAGUCUAGGCAAACCAACAUUAAUGAGAAUACUCUUGACUGACACCUUUCUCUCCUUCUUUCUUUUUUAUUAAAUUAUCCUGCUGGAUUCAAUAAGAACUUGACCUUGGU